UACGUAGGGGGCGAGCGUUGUCCGGAUUCAUUGGGCGUAAAGAGCUCGUAGGCGGUUUGGCAAGUCGGGUGUGAAAUCUCUGGGCUCAACUCAGAGAGGCCACUCGAUACUGCUAUGACUAGAGUCCGGUAGGGGACCAUGGAAUUCCUGGUGUAGCGGUGAAAUGUGCAGAUAUCAGGAGGAACACCGGUGGCGAAGGCGGGUCUCUGGGCCGAUACUGACGCUGAGGAGCGAAAGCGUGGGGAGCGAACAGG
rnacentral:rRNA from 1 species